ACGGAUGUAGCUUAGCUGGUAGAGCAUCGGUCUCCAAAACCGAAGGUCGUAAGUUCGAACCUUACCAUCCGUG
rnacentral:tRNA from 2 species